CCGGCCCAGCAAGCGCCUUUGGGGCGGGAAGGCACGCUGAGGAACGCUGCCUUACAGCCGCCAUGGUCUCUCUUCUCCAGCAAAUAUACUUCAGAAAAAAUGGUCCCUGUGGUGUGUUUUGAAGGUGGGUGCAUUCAGGUCAGGAUGAACCAAGGUUGAAGGCACCUCAAUAGAAAUGAAACAGAGAUCUGCUGCCACCUUCUGACCACUUGGAAAGCCUUCCAUGUCCUGAGCACAGCAGACAGCGCUGUGGAACAGAGGUGGC